rnacentral:rRNA from 1 species
GGAUGCGAUCAUAGCAGCACUAAAGCACCGGAUCCCAUCAGAACUCCGAAGUUAAGCAUGCUUGGGCGAGAGUAGUACUAGGAUGGGUGACCUCCUGGGAAGUCCUCGUGUUGCAUUCC